GAGGCAGGAGAAUGGCGUGAACCCGGGAAGCAGAGCUUGCAGUGAGCCGAGAUUGCGCCACUGCAGUCCGCAGUCCGACCUGGGCGACAGAGCGAGACUCCGUCUCAAAAAAAAAAAAAAAAAAAAAAAAAAGAAGAGUUCUAUACCUUUUUACCCAGAUCUUACCUAUGUUCAAACUUUGAAGGGUAUUUUUAGAUCUAAGAGAUCUGGGUCUUUAAAGUCAGUCUUGGCCAGAAUCAGGCUGCAAAUGCCAAAGCAAGAGAUGUCAGCAAUGAGUUGCAGGUCUUUGCCAAACAGAGCAUCAUCUGGCAGUGAAAGGAGAGCAGAAGAGGGGAUUUUGAAGUCUUCCUGCACACUUCCGACAACUUGAUUGAACUGGACGCCCUUGGAAGUUCAUGGCAUCGCCUAUAACAGAGUCUGUGUAGGCAAAACCCCAGCCUAUGCUGGAAUUUAACUCUUAAAAAGCAACCUAAGUAGAACACAAGAUUGUAAACUCUAAGGAGAUUCUAACACCAAAAGAAAGUAUGACUUGAGCCAAUGAAAUGCCAAAAUCCAGUUCUAGCUGACAACGUCAGUAGUGGAGGACAGACUUCCACUUGCCAUUUGAGGAAAAAGCAUGUGGAUUCAUGAGCAUAACAGCAGAUACCCCACUACCAAUUACCAAAUCCUGUGCACAUUCCUGUUCUCCAGUCACCUUUUCUCCAUAAAUGUUUGUGGUAUAAAAUGAAAACCUUCCCAAAUAUUAACCAGUCAACCUUUAUUCUC
rnacentral:lncRNA from 1 species